rnacentral:misc_RNA from 1 species
UUAAGUUCAGCGGGUAUCCCCACCUGAUCCGAGGUCAACCUUGCAAAAGCGAUUGAUCCGGCGGGCGCCAGCCGUCCCGAGCCGUGUGUCGUCACUGCUACGGGCUGGGCCGGGCCGCCAACGUCAUUAGGGCCGCCGCCGCAGCGGGGGGCCCAAUACCAAGCGGGGCUUGAUGGUCUGAAUGACGCUCGAACAGGCGUGCCCCUCGGAAUACCAAGGGGCGCAAUGUGCGUUCAAAGACUCGAUGAUUCACUGAAUUCUGCAAUUCACAUUACUUAUCGCAUUUCGCUGCGUUCUUCAUCGAUGCCGGAACCAAGAGAUCCGUUGUUGAAAGUUUUAACUGAUUAAGUUUGGCUCGGACGUCACCGCAAAAGCCAGGGUUUGGGGUCUUCCGGCGGGCACACGCCGCCCGGGGGCGGCGGCCGACAGGGCAGGCCCGCCGAAGCAACCAGGUGGGUACACAGGGGGUGUCGCGUCGACCGGCGAGCCGGCCGCGCUCUACCAUAAUGAUCCUU